GGAGUCUGGUCCGUGUCUCAGUACCAGUGUGGGGGAUAAGCCUCUCAGCUCCCCUAGACAUCGUCGGCUUGGUGGGCCGUUGCCCCGCCAACUACCUAAUGUCACGCAUGCCCAUCCACUACCACCGUAGCUUUAGUCACCAAACCAUGCGGUCCGAUGACACCAUGGGAUAUUAGUGGGGUUUUCACCCCGUUAUCCCCCUGUAGUGGGUAGGUUGCAUACGCGUUACGCACCCGUGCGCCGGUCGCCGGCAGUGUAUUGCUACACCCCGCUGCCCCUCGACUUGCAUGUGUUAAGCCUGCCGCUAGCGUUCAUCCUGAGCCAUGAUACAAACUCU
rnacentral:rRNA from 1 species